GGUUGGUGAGCACGUCCAGGUUGAUGAGCACGUCCAGGUUGGUGAGCACGUCCAGGUUGGUGAGCACGUCCAGGUUGGUGAGCACGUCCAGGUUGGUGAGCACGCCCAGGUUGGUGAGCACGCCCAGGUUGGUGAGCACGUCCAGGUUGGUGAGCACGUCCAGGUUGGUGAGCACGUCCAGGUUGGUGAGCACGUCCAGGUU